UAAACCAUAAAAACAAACUCACGAGACAUUGCAGGAUUACCUGAACCUGACUUCUGCAUUGAACUCUGCCUGGAUUAGCCUCUUCUGGAAAGAAGCGAUCCAGCUCCAUGAACAAAGACUCAAGCCUCUUGUUACUUCGUUUGAUCACACCGGCUGGCAGCCUCCUGAUUUCUUCGCUCCUUGGAUCACCCUCCAUGAACCCUGUCCACCCUCCUCUAUCCACUGCACCAACUUCAGAAACUCUUGGACCAGCUAACCAUCCUGGCACACCAGUAUUCACCAUCCUCAGUCUCACGGGUAAACAACCCUUUGGUCUCUCCACCGCCCUCUGGCGGAUCUCCCCAUCUAUCCAUUGGUAUCCCGGUUCCAGUUCCCUGCACAUUUCCUUACAUUGUAAAUAAACUCAUUACCGUUAAA